AAGAGGGUUGACGCAAAAGACCAUAACAAGCGUGGUAGCUGCCCUCAGAGGGGUUCUAACUUAACACCUCGAGCCUUCACAGAGAUGUAAGCUUGCAUAGAAAGGCAACAAAGCAGGAAAAGUACUCCACGUAAUUCUUCUAGAGAUGCUUGGGGACGACACUUUGAGAAACGUGAAUCUACUGGACCCAUCUGAGGAAAUACUGACCAACAGCAGAGCCAUUCCUUGUGGCAUUCUGGCCACUGGGAAGAUCACAGUGAUAACUCUUGGCUGACCUGGGGCUGCUGUCAAGAGACAUGGGAUCCUUUCCACAUCCUUCUCAG